GCGCGAAAACUUUACAAUGCUGGCAACAGCGAUAAGGGAACCUCGAGUGCCAGGUUACAAAUCUGGCUGUCGAGAUGCCUAAAAAGCAUUUCAUAGCAAGGGCCGGGCAAGACCGGUGCCAGCCGCCGCGGUAACACCGGCGGCUCGAGUGGUAACCGUUAUUAUUGGGUCUAAAGGGUCUGUAGCCGGCCGGAUAAGUCUCUUGAGAAAUCUGGCAGCUUAACUGUCAGGCUUUCAGGAGAUACUGUCUGGCUCGAGGCCGGGAGAGGUGAGAGGUACUUCAGGGGUAGGGGUGAAAUCUUGUAAUCCUUGAAGGACCACCAGUGGCGAAGGCGUCUCACCAGAACGGACCUGACGGCAAGGGACGAAGGCUAGGGGCACGAACCG
rnacentral:rRNA from 1 species